UGGGGAAUAUUGGACAAUGGGGGCAACCCUGAUCCAGCAAUUCUGUGUGCACGAUGAAGGUUUUCGGAUUGUAAAGUGCUUUCAGCAGGGAAGAAAAAAAUGACGGUACCUGCAGAAGAAGCGACGGCUAAAUACGUGCCAGCAGCCGCGGUAAUACGUAUGUCGCAAGCGUUAUCCGGAAUUAUUGGGCAUAAAGGGCAUCUAGGCGGCCAGAUAAGUCUGGGGUGAAAACUUGCGGCUCAACCGCAAGCCUGCCCUGGAAACUAUGUGGCUAGAGUACUGGAGAGGUGGACGGAACUGCACGAGUAGAGGUGAAAUUCGUAGAUAUGUGCAGGAAUGCCGAUGAUGAAGAUAGUUCACUGGACGGUAACUGACGCUGAAGUGCGAAAGCUAGGGGAGCAAACAGGAUUAGAUACCCUGGUAGUCCUAGCUGUAAACGAUGAUUACUGGGUGUGGGCAUGAAGAGUGUCCGUGCCGAAGCUAAUGCGAUAAGUAAUCCGCCUGGGGAGUGCGGCCGCAAGNGUG
rnacentral:rRNA from 1 species